rnacentral:guide_RNA from 1 species
AAUAAACUAACAGUGGUUAAUUCGAUGUGUAAAUUGAUAGUAU